UGUAGGAUAGCUCAUGUGGUAGAGCAUGAGAUUCUUAAUUUUGGGGUUGUGGGUUCGAGCCCCACGUUGGGCAA